rnacentral:rRNA from 3 species
AACGGCGAGUGAACAGGGAGAAGCCCAAAUUUGUAAUCUGGCACUUUUUACAGGUGUCCGAGUUGUAAUUUGUAGAACUGCUAUCCGUACUGGACCAUGUACAAGUCUGUUGAAAAGCAGCAUCAUUGAAGGUGAAAAUCCUGUAGAUGAUAUGGACUACCAGUAUAUUUGUGAUGCGGUUUCUAAGAGUCGAGUUGUUUGGGAAUGCAGCUCAAAGUGGGUGGUAAAUUCCAUCUAAGGCUAAAUAUGAGUGAGAGACCGAUAGCAUACAAGUACCGUGAGGGAAAGAUGAAAAGAACUUUGAAAAUAGAGUUAACAGUACGUGAAAUUGCUGAAAGGGAAACGUUUGAAGUUAGUUUUGUAUUCGUUGGAUCAGCUUCGCAAGGAGUGUAUUCCGAUGAUAGGCAAGUCAACAUCAAUCUAUGAGUGUUGGAUAAGGGUUUUGAGAACGUAGCAAUUCAGUUGUGUUAUAGCUCGAGACUUGGAUACGAUGCUUUGGAUUGAGGAACGCGUAGUAAGCUUUGAGCGGAUUCGAAAGGAUCUCCUUACUAUGGAUGUUGGUGAAAUAACUUUAAGCGACCCGUCUU